CACAGGUCCUGUAGUAACCACAGAACAUCCAUACAACUGCUCUACAUAUGGAGGUUCCUACAAUAAAAUGAUCACCGAUAUCUUCUAUGAACAAGAUUUUUCCUGAUUGAUAGAUGGGGACAGAGACAAGAUGGCAGAGAGGAUAUUAAAUCUCACCCUAGAGAUACUCUUCCAACUUACUGGAGAGGAUUACACGGUGGUGAAGAAGACCUCUAGUGAGCGCUGUCAGGUUCCUGUG